CCUACGGGAGGCUGCAGUGGGGAAUAUUGCACAAUGGGCGCAAGCCUGAUGCAGCCAUGCCGCGUGUGUGAAGAAGGCCUUCGGGUUGUAAAGCACUUUCAGCGGGGAGGAAGGCGGUGAGGUUAGUAACCUCAUCGAUUGACGUUACCCGCAGAAGAAGCACCGGCUAACUCCGUGCCAGCAGCCGCGGUAAUACGGAGGGUGCAAGCGUUAAUCGGAAUUACUGGGCGUAAAGCGCACGCAGGCGGUCUGUCAAGUCGGAUGUGAAAUCCCCGGGCUCAACCUGGGAACUGCAUUCGAAACUGGCAGGCUAGAGUCUUGUAGAGGGGGGUAGAAGUCCAGGUGUAGCGGUGAAAUGCGUAGAGAUCUGGAGGAAUACCGGUGGCGAAGGCGGCCCCCGGGACAAAGACUGACGCUCAGGUGCGAAAGCGUGGGGAGCAAACAGGAUUAGAUACCCGAGUAGUC
rnacentral:rRNA from 1 species